UCUGCUCAUGGAACUAAAUAGCCGCAGUACCCUGACUGUGCAAAGGUAGCAUAAUCAUUUGGCUUAUAAUUGAAGUCUGGAAUGAAAGAAGAAUUGGGAAAAAACUGUCUUUUUGGGUAAAUUAAAAGUUAUUGAACAAGUGAAAAUACUUGUGUAUUAAUAAAAGACGAGAAGACCCUAGAAAUUUUUUAUAAGAGAUGAAAUCUUAAUAUUUUGUUGGGGCGACAGAAUAACAUAAUAGAACUUAUUUUAUUUAAUUAGGACUAUAUAAGGAGAAAAAUUAAAUUACUCUAGGGAUAACAGCAUAAUUUUUUUAAAAGUUUGUGACCUCGAUGUUGGACUAUGGAUUUUAGUGUUUAGAAGAUGCUAAAACAGGCUCUGUUCGAGCUAUUAUCCUUACGUGAUCUGAGUUCAGACCGGA
rnacentral:rRNA from 1 species